GAUGAACGCUGGCGGCGUGCCUAAUACAUGCAAGUCGAGCGAACAGACGAGGAGCUUGCUCCUCUGACGUUAGCGGCGGACGGGUGAGUAACACGUGGAUAACCUACCUAUAAGACUGGGAUAACUUCGGGAAACCGGAGCUAAUACCGGAUAACAUGUUGAACCGCAUGGUUUAACAGUGAAAGACGGUCUUGCUGUCACUUAUAGAUGGAUCCGCGCCGCAUUAGCUAGUUGGUAAGGUAACGGCUUACCAAGGCAACGAUGCGUAGCCGACCUGAGAGGGUGAUCGGCCACACUGGAACUGAGACACGGUCCAGACUCCUACGGGAGGCAGCAGUAGGGAAUCUUCCGCAAUGGGCGAAAGCCUGACGGAGCAACGCCGCGUGAGUGAAGAAGGUCUUCGGAUCGUAAAACUCUGUUAUUAGGGAAGAACAAAUGUGUAAGUAACUAUGCACGUCUUGACGGUACCUAAUCAGAAAGCCACGGCUAACGACGUGC
rnacentral:rRNA from 1 species